rnacentral:tRNA from 2 species
GUCUCGAUAGCUCAGCCGGAUAGAGCGGCCCCCUCCUAAGGGGCAGGCCGGGGGUUCGACUCCCUCUCGGGACACCA